CAGGAGAUCAAGACCAUCCUGGCUAACACGGUGAAGUCCCGUCUCUACUAAAAAUAUGAAAAAUUAGCUGGGUGUGGUGACAUGCACCUGUAGUCCCAGCUACUCAGGAGGCUGAGGCUGGAAGUGGAUCCUGGCAUUCCUUGGCUUGUGGCCACAUCACUCCAAUCUCUGCCUCCACCUUCACAGGGCUUUCUUCUCUUCUCCCUGUGUCUCUCUUCUGUGUAUAUCUUAUGAAGACAAUUAUCACUGGACUUAGAGCCCAACUGGAUGAUCCGGGAGGAUCUCAUCUUGAGAUGUUUAACUUGCUUAUCUCUGCAUUAUUUUUUCCAAAUGAGGGCGCAUUCACAGGUUCCAGAGGUUGAGACAGGGACAUGUCUUUCUGGAAGCCACCAUUUCACCCAUUAUAGCCUGGGGACAAGGAGUGUUCGAAAACCAGGCACCAAGUUGUCUGGGUUUAUUCCCAAGAAGGUACACUCUGCUGAGCAUGAAUCUGAUCGGGAUUCUGAUUUACAAUUAUCUGCCCACCCCUCAACUCUGCCAGCAACCCUAAAAUGGUUCACUGCUUAGCGAGCACUCUCACUCUGUGCGGUACCUUUCAUGACCUUCUCUGCUCUCUGUAAACCACUGCCCCUUACCUCCCUGUCACUCUCAGCAA
rnacentral:lncRNA from 10 species